GGAUGAACGCUGGCGGCGUGCCUAAUACAUGCAAGUCGAACGAACCUUCGGGUUAGUGGCGGACGGGUGAGUAACACGUUAGUACCUGCCCUUUAGGUGGGGAAUAACUGGCCGAAAGGUCAGCUAAUACCGCAUGUGACCGUUUACGGUUAAAGCCUUCGGGCGCUAAAGGAGGGGCUUGCGUCUGAUUAGCUAGUUGGUAGGGUAAAGGCCUACCAAGGCAAUGAUCAGUAGCUGGUUCGAGAGGAUGACCAGCCACACUGGGACUGAGAUACGGCCCAGACUCCUACGGGAGGCAGCAGUAAGGAAUCUUCCGCAAUGGACGAAAGUCUGACGGAGCAACGCCGCGUGCAGGAUGACGGCCUUCGGGUUGUAAACUGCUUUUAUUUGGGAAGAUUAUGACGGUACCAAAUGAAUAAGGACCGGCUAACUACGUGCCAGCAGCCGCGGUAAUACGUAGGGUCCAAGCGUUAUCCGGAAUCACUGGGCGUAAAGCGUGCGUAGGCGGGUUGUUAAGUGCAAUGCGAAAUCCUGUGGCUCAACCAUAUGGACUGUAUUGCAUACUGGCAAUCUUGAGGAUAUGAGAGGCAAGUGGAAUUACCGGUGUAGCAGUGAAAUGCGUAGAUAUCGGUAGGAACACCAAUGGCGAAGGCAGCUUGCUGGCAUAUUUCUGACGCUAAGGCACGAAAGCGUGGGGAGCGAACAGGAUUAGAUACCCUGGUAGUCCACGCCGUAAACGAUGCAUACUAUUCGUAUGGGGUAUCGACCCCCUGUGCGGAGAAGCUAACGCGAUAAGUAUGCCGCCUGGGAAGUACGGCCGCAAGGCUAAAACUCAAAGGAAUUGACGGGGCUCCGCACAAGCAGUGGAUCGUGUGGUUUAAUCCGAUGCUACGCGCAGAACCUUACCCAGGCUUGACAUCCCGAUCGUCGGCCUAGGAAACUAGGCUUUCAGUUCGGCUGGAUCGGUGACAGAUGCUGCAUGGCCGUCGUCAGCUCGUGUCGUGAGAUGUUGGGUUAAGUCCCGCAACGAGCGCAACCCUUGUCGUGUGUUGUAUUUUUCACGCGAGACCGCCCGGGCCAACCGGGAGGAAGGUGGGGAUGACGUCAGGUCUGCAUGGCUCUUACGCCUGGGGCCACACACGUGAUACAAUGGCCGGAACAACGGGUCGCUAACCCGCGAGGGGGAGCUAAUCCCAUCAAACCCGGUCCCAGUUCGGAUUGCAGGCUGCAACUCGCCUGCAUGAA
rnacentral:rRNA from 1 species